CAGGGUCCAAAAGGUGAUGUAAUCCUGUGGCAAGAAGAUUCAAAACUGUGGACUAUCUUGCAAAAAAUACAAGAAGAUAUUGAAAGUUUUCAUGAGUGCCUACCACCUAAUCUCAAACACUAUCAUUCAUAUGUGCCUCAUUGAGCAAAUCUUUAAUGAGGAUCUAUAUGCCAGAUAAUGUAGGCAUUGUUCCUAAGUCAUGCAGAGGGGUUGUGUAAGCAUGGUCAUUUGCAUCAUUAUCCUGCACGUCUGAUACAGCCAAACUCCACGCCACCUGGUUUGCUCAAUAUCUUUUGCUUGGGAGCAGAAACAGAAAGUACAUGAUGGACUUCAUUGAAGGAUGGAGAUUUGGAAGACAUGAAUGGAUGAAGAACCAAGUGCGUGAGGGCACCUAUCAGGAUUAUUGCUGAAAUCCUUAUGGAGUUAACUGGCUGAGAGGAAGGCAAGCAAGCGAGGACUGAUGGGCCCUUGGCACUGUGAGAACAGUGGAGGAGGAGGGAGCAGGGUUCAUAAGGAGGAGCACAAACAGAAAGUUCAGUGGCCCCAAUAAAAAUAACACCAGAAUCUUCCAGAUACUUUCUCCAUAAGGCGAAAAGUAGAGAUGGGGUUUCACCAUGUUGCCCAGGCUGGUCUCAAACUCCUGAGCUCAGGCCAUC
rnacentral:lncRNA from 1 species